GGACUGCUUGUCCUCAGCUACUACCUCUCACUCGCCGCAUCUAUAUCCUGCUCAACUCUCUGUCUCUCGGGAUGCUGCGCCACACCACACCAGCUCCAGUUCGCGUUGACGCGAUCUCUGGCUUCCCGGUUUCCAUGGCUACAUGGCGCCGCGUCAUCACGCCGCGCUGUCUGUGCGCCAGUUCCGGGUCCCGAAGGCGCAUCCGCGGGUGGUGCUUUUUCACGGCGGGCUUCUCUUAGGUAUUUAGGUAUGUUCAAAUCUCCCCAUGUAAUCUGCCUAUUGCUAUCUGCACCUAUGCAAAUCAUCUAUAUUCCAAAUGUAUGUUCAAAUCUCCCCAUGUAAUCUGCCUAUUGCUAUCGGCACCUAUGCAAAUCAUCUAUAUUCCAAAUGUAUGUUCAAAUCUCCCCAUGUAAUCUGCCUAUUGCUAUCUGCACCUAUGCAAAUCAUCUAUAUUCCAAAUGUAUGUUCACAUCUCCCCAUGUAAUCUGCCUAUUGCUAUCUGCACCUAUGCAAAUCAUCUAUAUUCCAAAUGUAUGUUCAAAUCUCCCCAUGUAAUCUGCCUAUUGCUAUCUGCACCUAU